GCAAUCGGCCAUAGGAUCGAGAAAUCAGCGCUUCCCGUUCGCUCAGCGGUACUUAAGCUCGAUGCCGGCUAGUUAGUACUGAAGUGGGUGACCAUUUGGGAAUCCUGGCUGCUGAUUGUU
rnacentral:rRNA from 1 species